UGGGGAAUCUUGGACAAUGGGGGCAACCCUGAUCCAGCCAUGCCGCGUGAGUGAUGAAGGCCCUAGGGUCGUAAAGCUCUUUCGCCUGUGAAGAUAAUGACGGUAGCAGGUAAAGAAACCCCGGCUAACUCCGUGCCAGCAGCCGCGGUAAUACGGAGGGGGUUAGCGUUGUUCGGAAUUACUGGGCGUAAAGCGCACGUAGGCGGACCAGAAAGUUGGGGGUGAAAUCCCGGGGGCUCAACCCCGGAACUGCCUCCAAAACUAUUGGUCUAGAGUUCGAGAGAGGUGAGUGGAAUUCCAAGUGUAGAGGUGAAAUUCGUAGAUAUUCGGAGGAACACCAGUGGCGAAGGCGGCUCACUGGCUCGAUACUGACGCUGAGGUGCGAAAGUGUGGGGAGCAAACAGGAUUAGAUACCCUGGUAGUCCACGCCGUAAACGAUGU
rnacentral:rRNA from 1 species